UUGAAGAUCUGGAAGCAUCAAGGAAUGGUCUGUAGGCCAAGUUAAUCCAUUCUUCUCUAUUGGAUGAAUAUUAUGGCUCCUAGUUUGUUACUCUCAUGGUGUCCAAAUCCACUAGCAUUUACUGAUGUCAGUAUAUCUGGAUGGCUCUUCUAGGUUCUGGUCAUUCAUAUCAGCAGGAACAAUCUGUAGGCCAGUGUUGCCUCUACAAAAGGUUUUGGUAACUGGCCUCUGAACUGUGAUGGAACGAACUGAAGCUGCCAAUUAUUGGGUAGAAGGAAGCUGCUGGGAAAUCUAUACCAUUUUUUUUCCUUUACAGACAUUAACAGGUUGGCCUUCUGGGACAGUGUGGAUGGUUGGGUCUGUGGCAGUUCAGUAAAAUUCUGGAUACAAAUCAAGGAGCCCAUAAUACCUUCUGAACAGUGCCACAGAACAGGAAGAAGCGAAAGCAAGUUGAAUACAUUGGUGCAGAAGCUUCAUGACUUUCUGGCACACUCAUCAGAGGAAUCUGAAGAAACAAGUUCUCCUCCAAGACUUGUGAUGAACCAAAGCACAGAUAAAGUCAGUGGGUCUGGCAAUAACUCUGAUAUGAUGGAAAACAGCAGGGAAGAGGGAGCUAGCUCUGCAGAAAAAUCCAAAUCGUCAGGAUCCUCACGAUCAAAGAGGAAACCUUCAAUUGUAACAAAGUAUGUAGAAUCUGAUGAUGAAAAACCUUUGGAUGAAACUGUAAAUGAAGAUGCUUCUAAUGAAAAUUCAGAAAAUGAUAUUACUAUGCAAAGCUUGCCAAAAGAAGAUGGGCUUCAUGGGAUUGUGAGCUGUACAGCUUGUGGACAACAGGUCAAUCAUUUUCAAAAAGAUUCCAUUUAUAGACAUCCUUCACUGCAAGUACUUAUUUGUAAGAAUUGCUUUAAAUAUUAUAUGAGUGAUGAUAUUAGCCGUGACUCAGAUGGAAUGGAUGAACAGUGUAGAUGGUGUGCAGAAGGUGGAAACUUAAUUUGUUGUGACUUUUGCCAUAAUGCCUUCUGUAAGAAGUGCAUUCUUCGCAACCUUGGUCGAAAGGAGCUGUCUACAAUAAUGGAUGAAAACAACCAAUGGUAUUGCUACAUUUGCCACCCAGAGCCUUUGUUGGACUUGGUCACGGCAUGUAACAGCGUAUUUGAAAACUUAGAACAGUUGUUGCAACAAAAUAAGAAGAAGAUAAAAGUUGACAAUGAAAAGACUAGUAAAGUAUAUGAGCAUGCACCCAGAUUUUCUCCAAAGAAAAACAGUUCAAAUUGUAAUGGAGAAGAAAAGAAGUUAGAUGAUUCAUAUUCUGGUUCUGUAACCUACUCUUAUUCAGCACUAAUUGUGCCCAAGGACAUGAUUAAGAAGGCAAAAAAACUGAUUGAGACUACUGCCAACAUGAAUUCCAGUUACAUUAAAUUUUUGAAGCAGGCAACAGAUAAUUCAGAAAUCAAUUCUGCUACAAAGUUACGUCAGCUUAAGGCUUUUAAGUCUGUGUUGGCUGAUAUCAAGAAAGCUCAUCUUGCAUUAGAAGAAGAUUUGAAUUCAGAGAUUCAAGCUUUGGAUGCUGUAAACAAAGAGAAAAAUACCGAAGAGCAUAAAGUCAUAGAUGCUAAGUCUGAAACAAAAGUAAGAAAAGGAGAAAAACCUUGUGUUUUGGAAAGGAAGGAUAUUUCAAAAUCAGAAGUUCCAGAAGACAUUUUUGAAAAUCUUGAGACUGCUAUGGAAGUUCAGAGUUCAUCAGAGUAUCAGGGAGAUGGCAACAGUGGAACUGAACAAGAACUGGAGACUUCUAUAAAAUUAAAUAUUACUUCAAAAGACAACAGAGGAGGUGCUGAUUGUCAGGAAGUUCCACAAGAUAAAGAUAGCUAUAAAAGUUCUUGUCUGAACCCUAAGCCAGAGAACUGUGAACUUGAACAGGAAAAGAAUGAUAAUGAGCAUUUGGCUAAAAGUGAAGUUCCGUUACUUUCAGAAGAAUCUGAUCUUCGAAGAUCCCCGCGUGUAAAGACUACACCUUUGAGGCGACAGACAGAAACCAACCGUACAACAUCUAAUUCAGAUGAAGAAAAUAAUGAAACAGUUAAGGAGCAACAAAAACUUACAGUUCCAAUGAGAAAAAAGGAUAAGCGGAAUUCUUCUGACAGUGCUAUAGAUAAUCCUAAACCUAAUAAAUUGCCUAAAUCUAAGCAGUCAGAGAUUGUGGAUCACAUUUCAGAUUCUGAAGAAAUGCUGGCAAUCCUCAAAGACGUGCCCAGUAUGAGUCACAGUUCUUCAGAUACUGAUAUUAAUGAACCUCAUACAAAUAACAAGAAGACUUUUUACUCAGAGAUUCAAAGAGGGAAAGAUGAUAAAAGAAAAAGGAAACGAAAAAGUUCUACUUCUGGCUCAGAUUUUGAUAUUAAGAAAGGUAAAUCAGUUAAAAAGUCUAUAAUUUCUAAAAAGAAACGGCAAAACCAGUCUGAAUCUUCUAAUUAUGACUCAGAAUUAGAAAAAGAGAUAAAGAGAAUGAGUAAAAUUGGGACUGCCAGAACAACCAAAAAAAGAGUUCCAAAUAAAGAAGAUUAUGAUUCUUCUGAAGAUGAAAAACACAACAAACAAGGAAUGGAUAAUCAAGGUCAUAAAAGUUUGAGGACUGCACAGGAAGGAUCAUCUGAUGAUGCUGAAAGGAAACAAGAGAGAGAGAAUUUCUCUUCAGCAGAAGGCACAGUUGAUAAAGACAAGACCAACAUGGAAUUGAGAGAUUGCCUCUCUAAGAAGCAGCAGCCUGAUGUUUCCUCAGAGAGUGCUGAUAAGCUUUGUUCUGGGAAAGAGGAGAGUUUUAAUUCUCCAGAAGAUAAAAAGUUUGCUGAAUCUAAAGGAAAGAGUAAGCACCAGCGAACCAGAAUGUGUAAGAAAAUACUGGGUGGCUUAUGUGAUGUUGCUGAGAAGUUCUCAGAGAAAGAACAGAGUGAUGAAUCCUCUGAAGAUGAUAACGAGCAGAGCAAAAAGGAAAUUGAAGAAAAAGAAAAGAAGACUGCAGACUUGAGUGAAAAAGUGAUGGAACAAGAGUAUGAAUCAUCAUCUGAUACUACUGAGAAAUUACCUGAGGGAGAAGAAAUUUGUCACUUUCCUAAAAGGAUAAAACAAAAUAAGAGCUCAGCUGAUGGGGAAAAGAAAUGCAAAAAAAGAAAAGAUAAAGCUUCUAAAAAGAAGGGUGAAUUAUCUGAUAAUUCUGAGAAGUUACCAGGGAAAAGAGAAAGUUGUGAUUCUUCAGAAGAUAAGAGGAGUAAGAAUGGAACAUCGAGUAGAGAGAAGAAAAGGUUCAACUUGCCUGAAAAGAGUUCGAGGAAGAGACAGGAUUGUUCAUCAUCUGAUACUGAAAAAUAUUCCAUGAAGGAAGAUGGCUGUGAUUUUUCUGAUAAGAGACCAAAAAGAAUAGAAUUAAGGGAAAGAAGGAAUUUAAAUUCAAAUAGAAAUAGCAAGGAAGUACAAAGUGGCUCAUCAUCUUCUGAUGUUGAGGAAAGUUCUGAAGAUAAUAAAAACCUGAAGAAACAAAGAACUUCAGCUAAAAAGAAGGCAGGCAGUAUGAAGGAGAAAAUGAGAAACUCCUUGAGAACAAGCACUAAAAGGAAGCAGGCUGACAUUACUUCCUCAUCUUCUUCUGAUAUAGGAGAUGAUGAUCAGAAAUCUGUAGGUGAGGGGAGCAGUGAUGAGCAGAAAAUUAAGCCUGUGACUGAAAAUUUAGUGCUGUCGUCACAUACUGGAUUUUGUCAAUCUUCAGGAGACGAAGCCUUAUCUAAAUCAGUGCCUGUCACAGUGGAUGAUGACGACGAUGACAAUGAUCCUGAAAAUAGAAUUGCCAAGAAGAUGCUUUUAGAAGAAAUUAAAGCCAAUCUUUCCUCCGAUGAGGAUGGAUCUUCAGAUGAGUCAGAAGAAGGGAAGAAAAGAACUGGAAAACACAAUGAAGAAAACCCUGGAGAUGAGGAAGUAAAAAAUCAAGCCAUUUCUGAAUCAGAUUCAGAUUCUGAAGAAUCUAAGAAGCCAAGAUACAGACAUAGGCUUUUGAGACACAAGCUGAGUCUGAGUGAUGGAGAAUCUGGAGAAGAAAAAAAGAUGAAGCCUAAAGAGCACAAAGAAGCCAAAAGCAGAAAUAGAAGGAAGGUGAGUAGUGAAGAUUCUGAAGAUUCUGAUUUUCAGGAAUCUGGAGUUAGUGAAGAAGUUAGUGAAUCUGAAGAUGAACAACGGCCCAGAACAAGAUCUACGAAGAAAGCAGAGUUGGAAGAAAAUCAGAGAAGUUACAAACAGAAGAAGAAAAGGCGACGCAUUAAGGUUCAAGAAGACUCAUCUAGUGAAAACAAGAGUAAUUCUGAAGAAGAUAAAGAAGAAGAUGAAGAAGAAGAUGAAGAAGAAGAUGAAAAUGAUGAUUCGAAGUCUCCUGGAAAAGGCAGAAAGAAAAUUCGGAAGAUUCUUAAAGAUGAUAAGCUAAGAACAGAAACACAAAAUGCUCUUAAGGAAGAAGAAGAGAGGCGAAAACGUAUUGCUGAGAGAGAGCGAGAGCGAGAAAAAUUGAGAGAGGUGAUAGAAAUUGAAGAUGCUUCACCGACUAAGUGUCCAAUAACAACGAAGUUGGUUUUAGAUGAAGAUGAAGAAACCAAAGAACCUUUAGUGCAGGUUCAUAGAAAUAUGGUUAUCAAAUUGAAACCACAUCAAGUAGAUGGUGUUCAAUUUAUGUGGGAUUGCUGCUGUGAGUCUGUUAAAAAAACAAAGAAAUCUCCAGGUUCAGGAUGCAUUCUUGCCCACUGCAUGGGCCUUGGUAAGACUUUACAGGUGGUAAGUUUUCUUCAUACAGUUCUUUUGUGUGACAAAUUGGAUUUCAGCACAGCUUUGGUGGUUUGUCCUCUUAAUACUGCUUUGAAUUGGAUGAAUGAAUUUGAGAAGUGGCAGGAGGGAUUAAAAGAUGAUGAGAAGCUUGAGGUCUCUGAAUUAGCAACUGUGAAACGUCCUCAAGAAAGAAGCUACAUGCUACAGAGGUGGCAAGAAGAUGGUGGUGUUAUGAUCAUAGGCUAUGAGAUGUACAGAAAUCUUGCUCAAGGAAGGAAUGUGAAGAGUAGGAAACUUAAAGAAAUAUUUAACAAAGCAUUGGUUGAUCCAGGACCUGACUUUGUUGUUUGUGAUGAAGGCCAUAUUCUAAAAAAUGAAGCAUCUGCUGUUUCAAAAGCUAUGAAUUCUAUACGAUCAAGGAGGAGAAUUAUUUUAACAGGAACACCACUUCAAAAUAACCUAAUUGAGUAUCAUUGCAUGGUUAACUUUAUCAAAGAAAAUUUGCUUGGAUCCAUUAAGGAAUUCAGGAAUCGGUUUAUAAAUCCAAUCCAAAAUGGUCAGUGUGCAGAUUCUACCAUGGUAGAUGUCAGAGUAAUGAAAAAACGAGCUCACAUUCUCUAUGAAAUGUUAGCUGGAUGUGUUCAGAGGAAAGAUUAUACAGCAUUAACAAAGUUUUUGCCUCCAAAGCAUGAGUAUGUUUUAGCUGUGAGAAUGACUCCUAUUCAGUGCAAACUCUAUCAAUACUACUUAGAUCACUUAACAGGUGUAGGUAAUAGCAGUGAAGGCGGAAGAGGAAAGGCCGGUGCAAAACUUUUCCAAGAUUUUCAAAUGUUAAGUAGAAUCUGGACUCACCCAUGGUGUUUGCAGCUGGACUACAUUAGUAAAGAAAAUAAGGGAUAUUUUGAUGAAGACAGUAUGGAUGAAUUUAUAGCUUCAGAUUCCGAUGAAACCUCCAUGAGUUUAAGCUCUGAUGAUUAUACAAAAAAGAAAAAAGCAAAGGGGAAAAAGGGAAAAAAAGAUAGUAGCUCAAGUGGAAGUGGCAGUGACAAUGAUGUUGAAGUGAUUAAAGUCUGGAAUUCAAGAUCUCGAGGAGGUGGUGAAGGAAAUGUGGAUGAAACAGGAAACAAUCCCUCAGUUUCUUUAAAACUGGAAGAAAGUAAAGCUACUUCCUCUUCUAAUCCAAGCAGCCCAGCUCCAGACUGGUACAAAGAUUUUGUUACAGAUGCUGAUGCUGAGGUUUUAGAGCAUUCUGGAAAAAUGGUACUUCUCUUUGAAAUUCUUCGAAUGGCAGAGGAAAUUGGGGAUAAAGUCCUUGUUUUCAGCCAAUCUCUCAUAUCUCUGGACUUGAUUGAAGAUUUUCUUGAAUUGGCUAGUAGAGAAAAGACAGAAGAUAAAGAUAAGCCUCUUAUUUAUAAAGGUGAAGGGAAGUGGCUCAGAAACAUUGAUUAUUAUCGUUUAGAUGGCUCUACAACUGCUCAGUCAAGGAAAAAAUGGGCUGAAGAAUUUAAUGAUGAAACUAAUGUGAGAGGGCGAUUAUUUAUCAUUUCUACCAAAGCAGGAUCUCUUGGAAUUAAUCUGGUAGCUGCUAAUCGAGUGAUUAUAUUUGAUGCUUCUUGGAAUCCAUCUUAUGACAUCCAGAGUAUAUUCAGAGUUUAUCGCUUUGGACAAACUAAACCUGUCUAUGUAUAUAGGUUCUUAGCUCAGGGAACCAUGGAAGAUAAGAUUUAUGAUCGGCAAGUAACUAAGCAGUCACUGUCUUUUCGAGUUGUUGAUCAACAGCAAGUUGAACGUCAUUUUACCAUGAAUGAGCUGACUGAACUUUAUACCUUUGAGCCAGACUUGUUAGAUGACCCUAAUUCAGAAAAGAAGAAGAAAAGGGAUACUCCCAUGCUGCCAAAGGACACCAUACUUGCAGAACUUCUUCAAAUACAUAAAGAACAUAUUGUAGGAUAUCAUGAACAUGAUUCUCUUUUGGACCACAAAGAAGAAGAAGAGUUGACUGAAGAAGAAAGAAAAGCAGCUUGGGCUGAAUAUGAAGCAGAGAAGAAGGGACUGACCAUGCGUUUCAACAUACCAACUGGGACCAAUUUACCCCCUGUCAGUUUUAACUCUCAAACUCCUUAUAUUCCUUUCAAUUUGGGAGCCCUAUCAGCAAUGAGUAAUCAACAGCUGGAGGACCUCAUUAAUCAAGGAAGAGAAAAAGUUGUGGAAGCAACAAACAGUGUGACAGCAGUGAGGAUUCAGCCUCUUGAAGAUAUAAUUUCAGCUGUAUGGAAAGAAAACAUGAAUCUCUCAGAGGCCCAGGUACAGGCAUUAGCAUUAAGUAGACAAGCCAGCCAGGAGCUUGAUGUCAAACGAAGAGAGGCAAUCUACAAUGACGUGUUGACAAAACAACAGAUGUUAAUCAGCUGUGUUCAGCGAAUACUUAUGAACCGAAGGCUCCAGCAACAGUACAAUCAGCAGCAGCAGCAGCAAAUGACUUAUCAACAAGCAACGCUGGGUCACCUCAUGAUGCCAAAGCCUCCGAAUUUAAUCAUGAAUCCUUCUAACUACCAGCAGAUUGAUAUGAGAGGAAUGUAUCAGUCAGUGGCUGGUGGUAUGCAGCCACCACCAUUACAACGUGCACCACCCCCAAUGAGAAGCAAAAAUCCAGGACCUUCCCCAGGGAAAUCAAUGUGAUUUUGCACUAAAAGCUUAAAAGAUUGUUAAAAUCAUAGAAAGAUCUUUUAUUUUUUUAGGAAUCAAUGACUUAACAGAACUCAACUGUAUAAAUAGUUUGGUCCCCUUAAAUGCCAAUCUUCCAUAUUAGUUUAAAAAUUUUUUUUAAUAGGGCAUACCAUUUCUUCCUGACAUUUGUCAGUGAUGUUGCCUAGAAUCUUCUUACACACAUUGAGUACAGAAGAUCUUUCAAAUUGUUUUCAGUGAAAACAAGUCCUUCCAUAACAGUAACAACUCCACAGGUUUCCUCUCUAAAUUUUUAUGCCUGCUUUUAGUGACCAUAAAAUUGUCAUAAAUUAAUGAAUUUAUGAAAGAAUACUGAUUUAUAUAUUCAUUCUUUACAUAUAAAGACACACAGCUGAGUUCUUAGAGUUGAUUCCUCAAGUUAUGGAAUACUUUUGUACUUAUCCAUUUCUUGACUAA
rnacentral:lncRNA from 1 species